rnacentral:rRNA from 1 species
GGCGAUCAGAUACCGCCCUAGUUCUGACCGUAAACGAUGCCAACUAGCGAUCCGCCGGUGGCUCUUUGGCCCUGGUGGGGAGCUUCCCGGAAACGAAAGUCUUCCGGUUCCGGGGGAAGUAUGGUUGCAAAGCUGAAACUUAAAGGAAUUGACGGAAGGGCACCACCAGGAGUGGAGCCUGCGGCUUAAUUUGACUCAACACGGGAAAACUCACCCGGCCCGGACACCGUGAGGAUUGACAGAUUGAUAGCUUUUUCAUGAUUCGGUGGUUGGUGGUGCAUGGCCGUUCUUAGUUCGUGGAUCGAUUUGUCUGGUUUAUUCCGAUAACGAGCGAGACUCCAGCCUACUAACUAGUGCGGGCAUUGCCUCUGUGCCUGUCACUUCUUAGAGGGAUUGGCUGCGUCUAGCGGCACGAAACGGAGCAAUAACAGGUCUGUGAUGCCCUUAGAUGUCCGGGGCUGCACGCGCGCUACACUGGCAAAGGCAGCGUGCUUGUCCGUCUCCGAAAGGAGCCGGUAAACCCUUGAAAAUUUGCCGUGAUUGGGAUCGGAAAUUGCAAUUAUUUUCCGUGAACGAGGAAUUCCUAGUAAGUGCGAGUCAUCAGCUCGCGUUGAUUACGUCCCUGCCCUUUGUACACACCGCCCGUCGCUGCCUAGAACUGAGCCAUUUCGAGAAUAUUCGGGAUCGCUGGUUGCGGGUCCUUCGGGGCACGCCUCCGGCAAGAGAACGAACGUAAUCGCAGUGGCUUGAACCGGGCAAAAGUCGUAACAAGGUAGCUGUAGGUGAACCUGCUGCUGGAUCAUUACCUUGUCUGCUACGACAUGCGUUUUUGAUGAUGUGGGGAGGUGUUAGGCUGUCUCUGCUUGACAUCGUCCUGACGGGGCCGCCUCUGCCCCUUUCGGAACAGUCCACGGGUGCCUGGCUUGGGCGCUAAUAAGCUAGCAGCUUUCCGUUACAUGCUCUAGCUUGACACCUACCCGUGGGCGAAAACGGCUGUGCUGGAUCCUGUGCAAACGCCGAGCAGUUGUUGUCUCUAAAGUCCGUGGCUGCUGUGAAGCGUUGCGAUAGACCCGACCACGCGUCUCUUGUGGUUCGAGGAGUAGGAUUAAUGAGUACCUGAAGCGGUGCCGCCAGCAAACUCUUUUUUUCACGAAAUUUUUUCCUUACAACAAAGCUAUAUUAGUCUUGCCGGUGGACCUC